rnacentral:misc_RNA from 1 species
UCCGAGUUGACCCCGGCAGUCUUCGAUGAGUCCCCGGCAUAACCCGCUGGCAACAUCGAACGAGGGUUGCGCUCGUUGCGGGACUUAACCCAACAUCUCACGACACGAGCUGACGACAGCCAUGCAGCACCUGUGUGUCAGUCACCGAAGUGAAGGAACCCAUCUCUGGGAACCGUCCGACCAUGUCAAGGGCUGGUAAGGUUCUUCGCGUUGCUUCGAAUUAAACCACGUGCUCCACCGCUUGUGCGGGCCCCCGUCAAUUCCUUUAAGUUUUAGCCUUGCGGCCGUACUCCCCAGGCGGGGCACUUAAUGCGUUAGCUUCGGCACGGAGGGAGUCGACACCCCCCACACCUAGUGCCCAUCGUUUACGGCGUGGACUAC